AAGUUUUCAGUCUAUUCAUCUGACUUCAUUUUUAUUGCAGCAAAAUGUGAUGCAAAGCAGGCAGACUGACCAACACUGUCAUAAAAACCUGUCAGAAAUGCUGCAUACACCUGACAAACUAAGCUGUUAGCAGUUUUAACACUUUCUGCAAGGCCACAUUAAGCAUGUGAGUGAGACAUUAAACAUGCAGGUAUCCAGCUGGUGUGACUUUCAUGUACUGCUUGCGGACUGUUAUUUUCUUAGCUCUCAGAGCUGGAUGGUAAUUUUUUCAAGCUAAGUAUAUCCAGUCUUAGUUGAUUUUUUUUUUUUUUUUUUUGCGGAGCGGGUUUAGAGUUAGCUUGGUCGUCAACAGCUAAUGCUAUCUCUGGAUAGUGGCGUGUAAGGUGAGCCCUCGUGUUUGUAGUAUUUUAUUCUCAUAUGACACAGCAUGUGUCAUAUCUAAGUCCGCCUUUCCCUCUGUGUUAAAAAUCCAAAAUAACUCCCGACAUCUGAUUUUGAAUGCUGAUGGUGCGUUUCUGAUUACUUUCUCCAGUGCCUUUGUCUUUGUGCCGGUGGCUUAGUGGUAGAGCAGGCGCCCCGUGUACAAGGCUGUUGCAGCAGCGGCCCAGGUUUGACUCCAGCCUGUGGCCCUUUGCUGCAUGUCACUCCUCCCCUCUCUCCCCUUUCAUGCUUAUCUGUCCUAUCCAUUAAAGGCUAAAAAGCCCCAAAAAAUAUCUUUAAAGAAAAAGAAAGAAGAGGUGACCACUGUGGAGCAGGAAGUAGCAAAGAUUAGUAAGGAUGAAGUGAGGAGGGCAUUGAAGAGGAUGAAGAGUGGAAAGGUAGUUGGUCCUGAUAAUAUACCUGUGGAAGUAUAGGAUAUAUAGGAUAGGAUCAGGAAUGAGUACAUUAGGGGGACAGCUCAUGUUAGAUGUUUUGGAGAUAAAGUCCGAGAGGCCAGACUGAGAUGGUUUGGACGUGUUCAGAGGAGGGAUAGUGAAUAUAUCGGUAGAAGGAUGCUGAGGUUGGAACUGCCAGGCAAGAGGCCUAGGGCAAGACCAAAGAGGAGCUUUAUGGAUGUAGUGAAAGAGGACAUGAAGUCAGUUGGUGUGAGACAAGAGGAUGCAGAGGAUAGGUUCAGAUGGAGGCAGAUGAUAUGCUGUGGCGACCCCUAAGGGGAACAGCAGAAAGAAGAAGAUCUUAUUUGCAAACGUGUCUUGUAGGGUUGCUCGAUUAUGUAAACGAUCAUAAUCACAAUUAUUUUGGUCAAAAUUGAUAUCACGAUUAUGCAAACGAUUAUGCGGCACACGACUGAUAUUGUUUACACGACGGCGUGUCAUUUCUGUCUCUGUAUGGUCGCAUGUUUACAAUUCUCCUCUGCUCUCUGCGGAGUUCGGCCCUGAUGGGCACAGACCAUAGACUGUAUAAAAUAGUGGACGUAGUCACCGUGACGUCAUCCGCCCGUUUCUGAAGAGUGGAUUUGAAGCUCAAAACACUCCGCUCUGGACGUCGCCAUCUUGGCAGUGCCUGACUCCGCCCAACUCCCGGACAAUCAAAAAUGGGCAAAGAGGUGGGCCAAAGAAAGCCUGGUUGCCUAAACACGCCCACCUCACUCGGCGCUGCUAAGUUAGCUAAGGCUAAGAAGCUACGGGGCUAAGAAGCUACGCUACUUUGGCUAGCCCUGUGGUGUUGGCUGCUCCCUUGGUGCCAGCUCCCUCACGAAACUUGAGUGUGGAUCAUUGGUGACAGCUAUGUCCGGCGUGGUGUCCAGAGAGCUGCAGAGACCUUGGGAAGCACCCUCAGCAUGCCGGGCAUCCGCGUCUGCUGGUUUGGCUGACUGCAGUGGGGAGGCCUUCUCUCCUUCUUUUCGCACUCCCUGUGAGGAAGAGCAGCACCAGAUGUCCUCAUCAUCCACUGUGGCGGCAAUGGCAUGGUGAAGGUCAGCAGUGUCAAGCUGGUCAGCAUGAUGAAGGAGGACCUGCACCAGCUUCACCUCCAGCAUCCUGGCAUUAAGAUAAUAUUUUCUUCACUGGCCCAAAGGUGCAGGUGGGAGGCUGGUGGCAAUCCAGCAAAGAUUGAUAAGGCCAGGAAAUGUGUGUUAUGGCUACAUUUGUUCAUAGUUUAAAUGGUGCCAUAAUUGAGCACCCUAACAUCAGACACAUUCAUCUCACACCUAGGGGAAAUUAUAUGUUUUUAAGUAAAUUAGUUAAUUGUCUUAAAGACCACCUCCAAACGCAGUGAACUGCUUACAGUUGGCAGUGUUACUGCUUUUGAAUUUGGCCUUUAGGACACAUUUUGUUAGGCCUGAUCAUAGCCCAGGCUGUCAUGGCUAAUGUUGAGUUUUUGAUAUUCAUCUAUAACUUGUUUAAAAUUUCAAUAAAUUCUAUUUACAUUUGCA